rnacentral:lncRNA from 1 species
UGAAAACUAAUUCCUUUGUUUCAUGCAGCAUUGGAAUCUAAAAUUACGUCAUUUGAGAUGCCUAAAGUAAGUAGCGUAGACUAUCAAAAGCGUUGAAUGUGUGGAAGACUGUAUAAAUGUGCUUCAGAAAUUGGAAUUAGCUAGCUAACUCCUCCAUGAACAUAUAGAACUUAUCUUUAACAUAAAUUUCACUUUUUCUCCCUACAAAGCUCAUAAUGAUCAAUACACGUCCCAAAAUCCUGCUAAUUCUUAGCAACAUCAGUCAAUUGCAAUAAAAAACUAUUAAUAGGACCCUACUUACACAUUCAGUCAGACAUAGGACAAUUGAUUGUAUUAGCAAAGUACCUUAGUGAGAAUACAUUACCAUACCAUUGCUACCGAAUGCCCCUUUAGCAUAACCGUCGCUUGAACCUCUCAAUAUAACACAUUGUGUGGCUGCUGUAGGAGAAACAAUAAUCAAAGGGUACAUAGACUUGUGCUCUACUUAAACUUUUCAUUAGGCUUCUCUGAAAAUUUGAGCAACUAAUUUCUGAAAAGUAACAAAGAAAUGGCUAAGAAAGUUAUACUUACUGAGUAUUUAAUCGAAACAAACUAAAAAAGAACAUUAAAACCUUUAAAAUAAAAUGCAUUUGUUCUAUUUUUGAAAUGUGUUGUUCUCUUAAGAUUUAAAUCACAGAGUUAAACAAAUUUACAUAACAUUGCUUUUCAAGUUUCAGGAAUCACUUUAGCAGCCACAUUUGAAAGUAUAUAUCUAGCAAACCAAGCAAAAGCAAAAUUAAAGAUAGAAGAAGAAUAAGAAGCCAUCUAAAGAAAAAACAACCCAAUGCAAAAAUCACCAAAAUCAUGUAAAAAAAGAAGAGAUAAAAAUCAAUUGAAAGCAAAAUAGAUCUACACACAUCAAUAUAGAUAUUUUUGUCCUAAACAAACAAUUCAAUUCGAGUCCAC